UACGUAGGGUGCAAGCGUUGUCCGGAAUUAUUGGGCGUAAAGAGCUCGUAGGCGGUCAGUCGCGUCUGCUGUGAAAACUCGGGGCUUAACUCCGGGCCUGCAGUGGGUACGGGCUGACUAGAGUGCGGUAGGGGAGACUGGAAUUCCUGGUGUAGCGGUGAAAUGCGCAGAUAUCAGGAGGAACGCCGGUGGCGAAGGCGGGUCUCUGGGCCGUAACUGACGCUGAGGAGCGAAAGCGUGGGGAGCGAACAGG
rnacentral:rRNA from 1 species